GGAUAGGUGGCGGAAUCGGUAGACGCGUCCUUAGAUUUAAGGGUGGCAUAUAGCGUGAGAGUCGCGAUGCAAAACGCUUUGUAAGUCCGUGCAGGUUCGAGUCCUGCCCUAUCCA
rnacentral:tRNA from 1 species